rnacentral:tRNA from 1 species
GAUAGUGUAGCUUAAUAAUUAAAGCAAGGCACUGAAAAUGCCUAGAGGAGCUUAUAAAACCCCAUAAACUCAUAGGCUUGGUCCCACUCUUUCUAUUA